rnacentral:rRNA from 1 species
GAUGAACGCUGGCGGCGUGCCUAAUACAUGCAAGUCGAGCGAACAGACGAGGAGCUUGCUCCUCUGACGUUAGCGGCGGACGGGUGAGUAACACGUGGAUAACCUACCUAUAAGACUGGGAUAACUUCGGGAAACCGGAGCUAAUACCGGAUAAUAUAUUGAACCGCAUGGUUCAAUAGUGAAAGACGGUUUUGCUGUCACUUAUAGAUGGAUCCGCGCCGCAUUAGCUAGUUGGUAAGGUAACGGCUUACCAAGGCAACGAUGCGUAGCCGACCUGAGAGGGUGAUCGGCCACACUGGAACUGAGACACGGUCCAGACUCCUACGGGAGGCAGCAGUAGGGAAUCUUCCGCAAUGGGCGAAAGCCUGACGGAGCAACGCCGCGUGAGUGAUGAAGGUCUUCGGAUCGUAAAACUCUGUUAUUAGGGAAGAACAAAUGUGUAAGUAACUAUGCACGUCUUGACGGUACCUAAUCAGAA